rnacentral:misc_RNA from 1 species
GAUGAAGAACGCAGCGAAAUGCGAUAAGUAGUGUGAAUUGCAGAAUUCAGUGAAUCAUCGAAUCUUUGAACGCACAUUGCGCCCCUUGGUAUUCCAUGGGGCAUGCCUGUUCGAGCGUCAUUUGUACCUUCAAGCUUUGCUUGGUGUUGGGUGUUUGUCCAUUCUCUUGCAGAGGGACUCGCCUUAAAGUAAUUGGCAGCCAGUGUUUUGGUUUUGAAGCGCAGCACAAGUCGCGAUUCAACGCUAUACGCCAGCUUCCACAAGCCUUUUUCACUUUUGACCUCGGAUCAGGUAGGGAUACCCGCUGAACUUAAGCAUAUCAAUAAGAGGAGGA